GAUGAAGAACGUAGCGAAAUGCGAUAAGUAAUGCGAAUUGCAGAAUUCAGUGAGUCAUCGAAUCUUUGAACGCACAUUGCGCCCUGUGGUAUUCCGCAGGGCAUGCCUGUUCGAGCGUCAUUUCAACCCUCAAGCUCUGCUUGGUGUUGGGCCCUGUCCGCUGCGGCCGGCCCUAAAGACAGUGGCGGUGCCGCCUGGCCCUGAGCGUAGUACAUCUCUCGCUCCAGUGCCCGGUGGUAGCCUGCCAGAACCCCAACUCUCGUGGUUGACCUCGGAUCAGGUAGGGAUACCCGCUGAACUUAAGCAUAUCAAUAAGCCGGAGGA
rnacentral:misc_RNA from 1 species